GUUCCCGUGGAGUAAUUGGUUAUCUCGCCUGACUCUCAAUCAGGAGAUUGCGCGUUCAAGUCGCGUCGGGAAUAC
rnacentral:tRNA from 4 species